CCUUUGCCAAGGCUCUGAAUGGCAGAGGCUUUUCAGUUUCGCGUGAAUCUUGUGAUCUUUUUUGUCUUGGUAGGGGAACGGGCAUUUUUAAGGAAUCAUUAUUUGUACAUAAAAAAAUAAAAGGUAAAUCCAACACAGCCCAGAAAUGUUUGCACUUCAGUAGAAAUGGACUUUCUCGGGUUAAAAGGUGCUAAAAGAGAUCCCACUCAGUCAUUCCUGAACUUCCAGAAACAUAGGCAUUUGUCUAUGUCAAAAUUAUCCACCCAAUGGGCAUCUCUUUGGCUCCACCCUCCAGUUUCAGAGUGCCCAAAUGGCAAGGCAGCAGGUGAGGUGAGUAUUCAUUUCUGCAGGUAGGCAAGCUGAAUCGGUGUCAUCACCACUCAUUCAGCGAGCUCCCUGCUAAUGGCAGUGACUGACUGGCCCAGCCCACGGACCAGGCAGCCAGAGGAGCAAAGGAAAACAUUCUAAGGUCCAGGAGUCACCAGGUCCCCACUUGGAUGUCUUGGUGCCACACUCAAGCAGAUCCUUCAAUUCUCUGAGCCUCGGGUUCGGCGUCUGCAGUGUCAGGAUAAUUCCCACAACAUAGGGUUGCUGGGAAGAUUAAUUGGCUAUACAGUGAAGGUACUGUGCUAAGCACACUGCAAAUGGGAGAUUAAUGGCAAUCUUUUCUUGUCUCUAGCCAGUGGGAUUACCAAAUGCUCCCCCCUCCACUCCUGGUCCUUCAUGUUCCUCUAAAGAAAACCUUCCAGUUCUCUUCUGCCUUGUUCGUGACCCAAAAGAGGCCUUUGGGUGGAAAUGUUCCUAGCAGGUCACUCCAUCAAUUACUAACUGUGACUCCUGCCGCUCCAUAGAAUAAAUGGCGAUAUUGGAUGAAUAAUUCAGAUAUGUUUAUUGAUCUGAAUAUCAGGGUCUUAUCAACUGGAUUGUUACCAGAAUAGGAAGUAUAACGGAUUUAGGGCUCUAAUUUAAUGACAUUGCCGAAAGAGCUGUAUACCCACAUCCCUGUAUCUCCCCGACAACCAGCAAAAGCAGGGGGCAGGUAGCUCUGAACACGAUCAAAUCAAGGGUGUCGACUCAGAGUGAGAUCGUACAGCUUCAAAAGUAAUGGCGAUCUGCUCACAACUUCACGCAAACCCAGCAGGACCCCCACCUACUCCCCUCUCAAUCCCGAGUCGCGGACGGGGGAGAACCCCCACCCGGGUCCUUCCCGCCGGCCGCCCGGAAAGCCCGGAGCGCGGAACCGGAGCGACCAUCGGCGGCCGCGGGACGGGCAUGCUCAGUAGACCCGCAGGUCUCGUUUCACUCGGAAGCCAGCCGCGGACCCCGCCCCCUCUCGCCCCGCACGGGCGCCGGGAGAAGCGGACAUUUUAUCCUUCUCUGCCAUCCGCUCUGUUUCGUGUCCUUCGCCCCCUCUCUGCGUCCUCCCAUCUAUCGCCCAUCGGGGUCUGAAAUUCUUGUGUGAGGCAGUGAUGUUCAGCGCUACCAGGAGAGGACAGCCAAGAAAAUCAAAGGAGAGCUGACCCAGAAUCCUGAAAUUGCUGAGCUACUGAGUUAACCAGACUUGGAACCUGACUACUUCUGCACCUCAUGUUAUGUGAAAUAGUAAAUCUUUAUUGUUUAAGCCA